rnacentral:rRNA from 1 species
CAGCCGCCGCGGUAAUACGUAGGUGGCAAGCGUUGUCCGGAAUUAUUGGGCGUAAAGGGCUCGCAGGCGGCUUCUUAAGUCUGAUGUGAAAGCCCCCGGCUCAACCGGGGAGGGUCAUUGGAAACUGGGAAACUUGAGUGCAGAAGAGGAGAGUGGAAUUCCACGUGUAGCGGUGAAAUGCGUAGAGAUGUGGAGGAACACCAGUGGCGAAGGCGACUCUCUGGUCUGUAACUGACGCUGAGGAGCGAAAGCGUGGGGAGCAAACAGGAUUAGAUACCCCGGUAGUCCCUGUCUCUUAUAA